rnacentral:rRNA from 1 species
UACGUAGGUGGCAAGCGUUGUCCGGAAUCAUUGGGCGUAAAGAGCGCGUAGGCGGUCCGGUAAGUCCGCUCUGAAAGUCCGGGGGCUCAACCCCGGGAGGCGGGCGGAUACUGUCGGGCUAGAGUCCGGAAGAGGCGAGUGGAAUUCCUGGUGUAGCGGUGAAAUGCGCAGAUAUCAGGAGGAACACCAAUGGCGAAGGCAGCUCGCUGGCCCGAUACUGACGCUGAGGCGCGAAAGCGUGGGGAGCAAACAGG